UGGGGAAUUUUGGACAAUGGGCGAAAGCCUGAUCCAGCAAUGCCGCGUGUGUGAAGAAGGCCUUCGGGUUGUAAACACUUUUGUCCGGAAAGAAAUCCUUGGCUCUAAUACAGUCGGGGGAUGACGGUACCGGAAGAAUAAGCACCGGCUAACUACGUGCCAGCAGCCGCGGUAAUACGUAGGGUGCAAGCGUUAAUCGGAAUUACUGGGCGUAAAGCGUGCGCAGGCGGUUUGCUAAGACCGAUGUGAAAUCCCCGGGCUCAACCUGGGAACUGCAUUGGUGACUGGCAGGCUAGAGUAUGGCAGAGGGCGGUAGAAUUCCACGUGUAGCAGUGAAAUGCGUAGAGAUGUGGAGGAAUACCGAUGGCGAAGGCAGCCCCCUGGGCCAAUACUGACGCUCAUGCACGAAAGCGUGGGGAGCAAACAGGAUUAGAUACCCUGGUAGUCCACGCCCUAAACGAUGUCAACUAGUUGUUGGGGAUUCAUUUCCUUAGUAACGUAGCUAACGCGUGAAGUUGACCGCCUGGGGAGUACGGUCGCAAGAUUAAAACUUAAAUGAAUUGACGGGGUCAUAGCUGUUUCCU
rnacentral:rRNA from 1 species